AUUGAACGCUGGCGGCAGGCUUAACACAUGCAAGUCGAGCGAGCGGCGGACGGGUGAGUAAUGUCUGGGAAACUGCCUGAUGGAGGGGGAUAACUACUGGAAACGGUAGCUAAUACCGCAUACCAUCAGAUGUGCCCAGUUGGGAUUGGCUAGUAGGUGGGGUAAUGGCUCACCUAGGCGACGAUCCCUAGCUGGUCUGAGAGGAUAACCAGCCACACGGGAACGGAGACACGGUCCAGAUUCCUACGGGAGGCACCAGUGGGGAAUAUUGCACAAUGGGCGCAGGCCUGAUGCAGCCAUGCCGGGUGUGGUAAGAAGGCCUUCGGGUUGUAAAGAACUUUCAGCGAGGAGGCGUUACUCACAGAAGAAGCACCGACUAACUCCGUGCCAGCCGCCGCGGUAAAC
rnacentral:rRNA from 1 species